rnacentral:lncRNA from 1 species
CGCAAACAACUCCGCUUAAUUAUGACAAAUGUCCUCUUAGACAGGUCUAUUCCUCCUCUGAAUAAGAGCUUAUCUUGAAUCAGUAUCCUAGGAUAUCAAAACAAGAAUUAAGAACACAUAAUUAAGAAUAAGUUAAAUAUUUAUCAUACAAUUCAGAAAAUAAUAACAAGAUUCAUCUUAGGUUUCAUUCCCCUUAGGUAUUUAGGGGUUUUAGUUCUUAACUAAAUAAGAAAACAUCUCAGAAUAAUAAAG